UUUGGGAAAAAAAUAAUUGUACAUUUCUUUAUUUCUGUGAAAAUAAUUUAAGUUCUUGGAUAAUCCAGAAAUGUCAAAGUUUUUAUUUCACUGCUAUUUACAAAAAUGUUCAAGUUAACAUACGACAUUUUGGAAGCAUGCAUUUUGCCAAAAUUUUCAAAGCCUGUUUGUGAGAUAUUUUUUUCUUGAAAAAUUUGUAAUUUACAACAUUUUAGAAGCCCAGCG
rnacentral:lncRNA from 1 species